rnacentral:miRNA from 1 species
AUAUGAAUUAUCCAGGGAUCUUGCUAAAAUGCAGAUUCUGAUAGAGUAGAUCUGAUAUAGGGCCCAGUCAUCUACAUUUAUAAUAGGUUCCCAGGUGAUGCUAAU